AUUGAACGCUGGCGGCAUGCCUAACACAUGCAAGUCGAGCGGAUGAAGGGAGCUUGCUCCUGGAUUCAGCGGCGGACGGGUGAGUAAUGCCUAGGAAUCUUCCUGGUAGUGGGGGAUAACGUCCGGAAACGGGCGCUAAUACCGCAUACGUCCUGUGGGAGAAAGUGGGGGAUCUUCGGACCUCACGCUAUCAGAUGAGCCUAGGUCGGAUUAGCUAGUUGGUGGGGUAAAGGCCUACCAAGGCGACGAUCCGUAACUGGUCUGAGAGGAUGAUCAGUCACACUGGAAGUGAGACACGGUCCAGAGUCCUACGAGAGGGAGCAGUGGGGAAUAUUGGACAGUGGGCGAAAGCCUGAUCCAGUGAGGCCGAGUGUGUGAAAGAGGUCUUCGGAUUGUAAAGCACUCUAAGUUGGGAGGAAGGGCAGUAAGUUAAGACCUAGCUGUUUUGACGUUACCAACAGAAGAAGCACCGGCUAACUUCGUG
rnacentral:rRNA from 1 species